GGAUGGUCUCCAUCUCCUGACCUCGUGAUCUGCCCGCCUCGGCCUCCCAAAGUGCUGGGAUUACAGGCAUGAGCCACUGCGCCCGGCCGUACUUCCUUUUUUAAACUAGACUUUUGCUAACCCAAAUGAUUCUUUUUUUUUCUUUUUUGAGAUGGAGUCUCACUCUGUUGCCCAGGCUGAAGUGCAGUGGAAUGAUCUCGGCUCACUGCAACCUCUGCCUCCCAGGUUCAAGCGAUUCUCCUGCUUCAGCCUCCUGAGUAGCUGGGAUUACAGGUUUAUUUGCAAGAUGGGUUUGAGGGAAUUAAGGAUAAAGUCUGCUGAAAGUAGCACCAGCCUCUGGAUUAAAAGGGAUGUUUGGAUGAAGCUUCAAUCUCAAGAAGAGGCAAGAGAAAACUAAAGAAAAAGAGACAAGAAGGUAGUUGACAAGCUGUGAACCUGCAUUGCAUUCUAGUGAUGGGACACGUGGAAGGGGAAGCUGAAGUUGAAGGGUGGAUGGUAGCAGCCACAGGGAGUGAGAUGGGCUCGUUUCUGGAGCUGUUGGGAGAGAAAAAGGGAGUCAAACGGGAAUUCACACAGGGUUGUGCAUUAUAUCCAAGUGUGUAUUCAGAUACAAGCCUUUAUCUCAAUACCUUCCUUACCCCCAUUCCGCACAUAUCUCAUACCAAAGUACAAAUAAAACCAUUCCCAAUUGUUCUAAUA
rnacentral:lncRNA from 1 species